rnacentral:rRNA from 1 species
AUUGAACGCUGGCGGCAGGCCUAACACAUUCAAGUCGAGCGGAGCUGCGGACGAGUGAGUACUGCCUAGGAAUCUGCCUGUUCGUGGGGGAUAACUUCCGGAAACGGGCGCUAUUACCCCCUACUAUCAGAUGCGCCUAGGUGGGAUAAGCUAGUUGGUGGGGUAAAGGCCUACCAAGUCGAAGAUCCGGAACUGGUCUGAGAGGAGGAUCAGUCACACUGGAACUGGGACACGGGCCAGACUCCUACGGGAGGCAGCGGUGGGGAAUAUUGGACAAGGGGGGAAAGCCUGAUCCAGCCAUGCCGCGUGUGUGAAGAAGGUCUUCGGAUUGUAAAGCACUUUAAGUUGGGAGGCGUUACCAACAGAAUAAGCACCGGCUAACUUCGUGCCAGCAGCCGCGGUAAUUC